rnacentral:rRNA from 1 species
UACGGGGGGGGGUAAGCGUUGUUCGGAAUUACUGGGCGUAAAGGGCUCGUAGGCGGCCAACUAAGUCAUACGUGAAAUCCCUCAGCUUAACUGGGGAACUGCGUGUGAUACUGGAUGGCUUGGAUUUGGGAGAGGGAUGCGGAAUUCCAGGUGUAGCGGUGAAAUGCAUAGAUAUCUGGAGGAACACCGGUGGCGAAGGCGGCAUCCUGGACCAAUAUUGACGCUGAGGAGCGAAAGCCAGGGGAGCAAACGGG